rnacentral:rRNA from 1 species
AGAGUUUGAUCCUGGCUCAGGACGAACGCUGGCGGCGUGCUUAACACAUGCAAGUCGAACGGAGAGGCCCUUCGGGGUACUCGAGUGGCGAACGGGUGAGUAACACGUGGGUGAUCUGCCCUGCACGUUGGGAUAAGCCUGGGAAACUGGGUCUAAUACCGAAUAUGACCAUGCACUUCCUGGUGUGUGGUGGAAAGCUUUUGCGGUGUGGGAUGGGCCCGCGGCCUAUCAGCUUGUUGGUGGGGUAAUGGCCUACCAAGGCGACGACGGGUAGCCGGCCUGAGAGGGUGACCGGCCACACUGGGACUGAGAUACGGCCCAGACUCCUACGGGAGGCAGCAGUGGGGAAUAUUGCACAAUGGGCGCAAGCCUGAUGCAGCGACGCCGCGUGAGGGAUGACGGCCUUCGGGUUGUAAACCUCUUUCAGCACAGACGAAGCGCAAGUGACGGUAUGUGCAGAAGAAGGACCGGCCAACUACGUGCCAGCAGCCGCGGUAAUACGUAGGGUCCGAGCGUUGUCCGGAAUUACUGGGCGUAAAGAGCUCGUAGGUGGUUUGUCGCGUUGUUCGUGAAAACUCACAGCUUAACUGUGGGCGUGCGGGCGAUACGGGCAGACUUGAGUACUGCAGGGGAGACUGGAAUUCCUGGUGUAGCGGUGGAAUGCGCAGAUAUCAGGAGGAACACCGGUGGCGAAGGCGGGUCUCUGGGCAGUAACUGACGCUGAGGAGCGAAAGCGUGGGGAGCGAACAGGAUUAGAUACCCUGGUAGUCC